GGAAGGUCAAUGAAAGGUCAAUGGAAGGUCAUGGAAGGUCAUGGAAGGUCAUGGAAGGCCAUGGAAGGGCGUGGAAGGUCAUGGAAAUUCAAUGGAAGGUCAUGGAAGGUCAUGGAAGGUCAUGGAAGGUCAAUGGAAAUGCUUUGAGAUCAAUGGAAGGUCAAUGGGAGGUCAUGGAAGGUCAUGGAAGGUCAUGGAAGGUCACAGAAGGUCACGGAAGGUCAUGGAAGGUCAAUGGAAAUGCUUUGAGAUCAAUGGAAGGUCAUGGAAGGGCGUGGAAGGUCAUGGAAGGCCAUGGAAGGUCAUGGAAGGUCAAUGGAAGGGCGUGGAAGGUCACAGAAGGUCAUGGAAGGUCAUGGAAGGUCAUGGAAGGUCAUGGAAGGGCGUGGAAGGUCAAUGGAAGGUCAUGGAAGGUCACAGAAGGUCACAGAAGGUCAUGGAAGGUCAUGGAAGGCCAUGGAAGGUCACAGAAGGUCAUGGAAGGGCGUGGAAGGUCAAUGGAAGGUCCUGGAAGGGCGUGGAAAGUCUUUGAGAUCAAUGGAAGAUCAUGGAAGGUCAUGGAAGGUCAUGAAAGGGCAUGUAAGGUCAUGGAAGAUCAAAGGAAAGCUUUCAAGGUCCUGGCAGCUCAAACCUCAACCCCAAUUCCCAUAUCCAGGUCCUGGCAGCUCAAUCCUUGCCCCCAGGUCCUGGCAGCUCCCCCCAGGUCCUGUCAGCUCAAAACCUCAGUUCCCAGGUCCUGGCAGCUCAAUCCUCAGUUCCCAGGUCCUGUCAGCUCAAUCCUUGCCCCCAGGUCCUGUCAGCUCAAACCUCAGUUCCCAGGUCCUGGCAGCUCCAACCUCAGUUCCCAGGUCCUGGCAGCCCCAUAUCAAGGUCCUGUCAGCUCAGAGCACCCCCCAGGUCCUGUCAGCUCCCCCCAGGUCCUGGCAGCUCAAUCCUUGCCCCCAGGUCCUGGCAGCUCACCGCUCAGUUCCCAGGUCCUGUCAGCCUCAUAUCCAGGUCCUGGCAGCUCAAUCCUCAGUUCCCAGGUCCUGGCAGCUCAAUCCUUGCCCCCAGGUCCUGUCAGCUCAAAAACCUCAGUUCCCAGGUCCUGUCAGCUCAAACCUCAGUUCCCAGGUCCUGGCAGCUCUCGGCAGGUCCUGGCAGCCCCAUAUCCAGGUCCUGGCAGCUCAAACCUCAGUUCCCAGGUCCUGGCAGCUCAGAGCACCCCCAGGUCCUGUCAGCUCCCCCCAGGUCCUGUCAGCUCACCGCUCAGGUCGUCGCCGCGGUGCGUCCAUGGCUCGGCGCCGUCGAAGUGCGUGUCCCCUCCGAUGUGUGGCCCGGGGAAGAAGGUCCUGGCAGCUCAAACCCCCAUUCCCAAUCCCCAAACCCCAUAUCCAGGUCCUGGCAGCUCCAAACCAACCCAUUCCCAAUCCCAAUUCCCAUAUCCAGGUCCUGGCAGCUCAAACCCCCAUUCCCAAUCC
rnacentral:lncRNA from 1 species